AUGAUUGAAUCAAUUGUGAGACUAUCAAUCAGCAAAUUAUCCAGAGCCUCAAGGGUUGGCGAAAUCAAUACAAAGUUUUUCUUUGGAAGUGGGAGAGUGAAAGGAAGAAGAGAUGGUAAAGGAAGAGGAGGCAAAUGAGGCAAAGGAAGAGAGUAUGAAUUAAAGAGGAGGAAAAGAAGGAAGAAAUAGGAAUAAGGAAGGAGAGAAGAAAAGGAUAAAGAGAAAACAAAAGAAACAAAGAAGGAAGGAAGCAAGGAUGAAGAGGAAAUGGAAAGAUGAAGAGAAGAGAAAGAAUUAAGAGGAGAGGAAGGGAGGAAGAAAAGAAAGAAGGAAGAAACAAAGGAACAAAGGAGGGAGGAAGAAGAAAAGAGAUGGAAAAACAUCAUGAAUAAAUUGGUCUGAUAUUUCUGGGCA
rnacentral:lncRNA from 1 species